UUACGACCAUAUCACGUUGAAACACCGGUUCUCGUACGAUCACUGAAGUUAAGCAACGUCGAGCCUGGUCAAUACCUAAAUAGGUGACCACUUGAGAAUACUAAGUGCUGUAA